GACGAACGCUGGCGGCGUGCUUAACACAUGCAAGUCGAACGGAAAGGCCCUGCUUUUGUGGGGUGCUCGAGUGGCGAACGGGUGAGUAACACGUGAGUAACCUGCCCUUGACUUUGGGAUAACUUCAGGAAACUGGGGCUAAUACCGGAUAGGAGCUCCUGCUGCAUGGUGGGGGUUGGAAAGUUUCGGCGGUUGGGGAUGGACUCGCGGCUUAUCAGCUUGUUGGUGGGGUAGUGGCUUACCAAGGCUUUGACGGGUAGCCGGCCUGAGAGGGUGACCGGCCACAUUGGGACGGAGAUACGGCCCAGACUCCUACGGGGGGCAGGGGGGGGGAAUAUUGCAAAAGGGGCGGAAGCCUGAGGCAGCAACGCCGCGUGGGGGAUGACGGCCUUCGGGUUGUAAACCGCUUUCGCCUGGGACGAAGCGUGGGGGAGGGAAAUGGGUAAAGAAGCACCGGCUAACUACGG
rnacentral:rRNA from 1 species